AAUAGAUGACGCCGUUGACUUUUUCUCACAUGUUUGACCAUUCGUUUUAUUCAAAAAGUUUACGUAAUUAUAAUUUAUUUUGUUAUGAGUUGUUUUAUUACUCAUAGUACUUUAAGUGUGAUUUAUAUCUUAUACAUUUGCAUAAAAUUUUUGAAAAAGACGAAUGGUCAAACAUGUGAGAAAAAGUUAACGGCGUCAUCUAUU
rfam:Oryza sativa Japonica Group DNA, chromosome 7, cultivar: Nipponbare, complete sequence.